rnacentral:tRNA from 3 species
GAGCCAUUAGCUCAGUUGGUAGAGCACCUGACUUUUAAUCAGGGUGUCGUUGGUUCGAGUCCAACAUGGCUCACCA